CGCGUAGGCGGUCUUGUCGGUCAGAUGUGAAAGCCCAGGGCUCAACCCUGGACGUGCAUUUGAAACAGCAAGACUUGAGUACGGGAGAGGAAAGCGGAAUUCCUGGUGUAGAGGUGAAAUUCGUAGAUAUCAGGAGGAACACCGAUGGCGAAGGCAGCUUUCUGGACCGAUACUGACGCUGAGGCACGAAAGCGUGGGGAGCGAACAGGAUUAGAUACCCUGGUAGUCC
rnacentral:rRNA from 1 species